rnacentral:lncRNA from 1 species
UCCUUCAGGCCCUGCUUUCCAGUGUUCAGGCUGAAGGCCAUCUCCUCUGCAAGCGUCAGUGGUGGUGGUGCAGGUCCUCAACCAGUUGUUCUAGCCUCUGCCUUCUUUCUGUUUGCUGAGUAGAAGUCAAAUGUGUAAAAACAUUACACCCAUGUUGAAAAUGCUGCUGCACUGCUAUACUCUGCUCUGCAUACUAUUUAGUUAUUUAAUAUGUCAAAUGUUGUAAAGCCAGGUAGUCUACACCCAUGAUAUGAUCGUGCCUUACCUGUUUGAAUUAUGUUUUAAUAUUUCAUUUUUAGCUGCUGCCACGUCCUUUUUAUGCCUACAGGAUUGUACCUACAUAAAAAUUCAAAUGAAAUUCUUUUAUAAAUGUUAUUAGAUUAAUGUACUAAUUGCUCCAUAAAACUUAUUGCAUUAGUGGAAUACCAUUACUUUACAAAUCCCACAUUAACCACAACACUGCACUUUGAAUUCAUAAAAAAUUGGUCUUUUAUGCAAAUACUUGUCACGGUCAGUGUGUGAACGGAGCACAGCUUCGGAAGACUCGUAGAUGCAGAUAAAGGUACAGUCGAGGGUCAAAAACCAAAAUGGCAGAUUGGUGAAGGUACAAAAAUGGCAGGCAGGUAGGCAGAUCAGACAGACAGGAGAUCAUACACAAUAAUAUGUUCAAACUACGGUACCAACAGGGAGAAUCCAGGAGACGAGACAAUCAAUCAGACAGAGAGGUAAAACAGGUACUGUAGGCAAAUGAACAGAAUGCUGGAAUGGAACAAAGUCAACGAUCUGGCAGGGAACUCAGGUAAGUGCAGGUGCCGAAAUAUGCAGGCAAUGACCGAAUUGAACACAGCUGUUGAAUCACGUGACUAGUAACAUAAAGCUGGGAAACAUGGCUGAACGUAAACCGGAAAAUACCAAAAAAAAACAGGGAAAAUACGGGGCAAGAGGCCCCAACUAUGACAUUACUGAAGUCACUCCCGAGGCUGGUCCAUGCCUCCAGUCCAGCUUUCAAAAGCUCCAACACAUUCAAAACUGCUGCCAGGAUUCUUAUGAGGGUGCGGAAUAAUGAACACAUCCCAUCCAUGAAAAUGCCCCACAAUACCUUAAAAAACAACUUAUGCAACCGAGACCGUGCUUCCUCAGCAGCUCCUCCACGAGUCUGGAAUGCCCUACAGUACCUGAUAACAUGAGCGCUCCACAAAUCGUGCACUACUUUAAGACUUUUCUCUUUAGACAAGCAUAUUAAU